rnacentral:rRNA from 1 species
GAAAGGCGCUUUUGCGUCACUGAUGGAUGGACCCGCGGUGCAUUAGCUAGUUGGUGAGGUAACGGCUCACCAAGGCCACGAUGCAUAGCCGACCUGAGAGGGUGAUCGGCCACAUUGGGACUGAGACACGGCCCAGACUCCUACGGGAGGCAGCAGUAGGGAAUCUUCGGCAAUGGACGAAAGUCUGACCGAGCAACGCCGCGUGAGUGAAGAAGGUUUUCGGAUCGUAAAACUCUGUUGUUAGAGAAGAACAAGGAUGAGAGUAGAACGUUCAUCCCUUGACGGUAUCUAACCAGAAAGCCACGGCUAACUACGUGCCAGCAGCCGCGGUAAUACGUAGGUGGCAAGCGUUGUCCGGAUUUAUUGGGCGUAAAGCGAGCGCAGGCGGUUUCUUAAGUCUGAUGUGAAAGCCCCCGGCUCAACCGGGGAGGGUCAUUGGAAACUGGGAGACUUGAGUGCAGAAGAGGAGAGUGGAAUUCCAUGUGUAGCGGUGAAAUGCGUAGAUAUAUGGAGGAACACCAGUGGCGAAGGCGGCUCUCUGGUCUGUAACUGACGCUGAGGCUCGAAAGCGUGGGGAGCGAACAGGAUUAGAUACCCUGGUAGUCCACGCCGUAAACGAUGAGUGCUAAGUGUUGGAGGGUUUCCGCCCUUCAGUGCUGC